GCUUGGUGCUGGCAUCCAGGUCUGCAGGCCUAGAGCGUGAGGGGGAACUGCCAGUCUCUGGAAAUACUCUUUUCAAGGACAGUCUAUUUCACGCCGACACGUGUGGUCAUGGCGUUCCUCCGAGCCCAGGACCUUUAGAUCACCUGUCUCUCAGUUGCCUCUGACUCUCAGAACCUAUUUGCGAAUCUCCAGGUCCUUCCAAAUUUAAUUCCUCUGUCUAACUUUGCUGUCGGAGAGUACCGGAUCCCCAGCAGCACAUUCUGAAAUAGCAACUUUUUCUGAAGUCCUAUAUACGGGAGAUUCUAGCUACAGAAUUAAACUUGUCCUCAGGGCUUUCCACACGUGAGUGUUUAAGUUCUGGCUUGUGUCUGAAGCCUUCCUUCUGUGAAAAGCUUUUCUUCUGGCGGAGCCACAAGCAAGAAACAGUCUCAGAGCCUGCCGACGCCAGCCCCUUCAUCUGACUGGUCAGCACUGGGCUCUGUGUGCACACCUGUGGCAGUGACCUGUCAUUACCAAAAACCAUUUAAUGUGUGAAGGUAAGAAGUUGUAUGCCCCUGUGCUUGGCAAACAUUUGAAGCAACAACCAAAUCACCAUGAACAAUGGUGGAAAUUAGGUUGUGGUGCAUUCACUAACUCUCACUUAAAUGCUGUGCCCGCACGGAUUCCUGCAGCGCUCACACACUUGACCUCUCCCUGUCUCUAUAGGCAUUUGGAAAUGGAAAGGCUUCUGAUAACACAUGUCUCAAGAAGUACUGCCAGCUAGUUGCCUGCAGACUCACGAUAAAGUAUUCACCUUGAUAAUUUGCUAGGAGUUGGGUAUCAGUCUUCCCACUAGAAAUCUUAUCCAUCCAUUGCUUGAUGAUUGGUUGAUGUUUGGCGGACACAGAACGGACUCCUCCCUCAGGGGCAGACUCAUCUGAACCAAGCUCACAGGAACUGAUAAGCACAAACCAGGAUGCCAAUCCGUGAAUUUACUGUGAAUUGUCAAGUCAUCCAGAAGACGAGAAGGCUUAUAUCAGCAACGUGGCGCAUCCCCCCCCCCACCCAGAGCCGUGGCAAGUUCAAGCAUAGCCAGAAUCACCAGUGUGUCCAUUCUGUUCAUAUCCAGUAAGAAAUACAACUGUAAAGCUGAUAUAGUCUUAAUCUUCCCCUCCUCCCACUUUCUCUCUCUCCUUCUCUCUCUCUCAACUUGUUCCGUGGGGAGCCAAUUUACCCAAAGGUGAGGAUGUUAUCACGACAUUGGCAAUGAAUCAAUCCUAAGGAGCAUCUCUCUACCGCGAGGUGAAUGCCCUCUCACCACCAGAGGGACAGUGUGCCAUGGAAAUGGAAACACUUCAGGCUGUUGGACGGAGAGUACCACCCCCUGGGUGGAACUUGCAUAGGUGUCACCACCCUCAGCCUGCCCCCCACUCUGCUUUGUCUUUGUUUCCAUGGCGAGCAGGUCCAGUUCUGACUGGCCCGCUCAGCCAGACACAGUCAUUUGUAAGGGGCCUGGAGUCAUUCCAUCUCCUUAAGGAUAUGUGGCUUAUCUCUCCUGUGAUGUACUGAUUUUGGAGGCUGAUCUAUCGUGGGUGUGUUGAACGAGAACAGUUCUUGGGAUGGACUCCUCAAGCAGCUUUCUUCUGUCCCGACCAUCUUCUUAAAUCCGCUCUGGGCCAGUUCUUCUCCAGUCCCUGGAAGGAAUGUGAAACAAUCCCAUGCAGUUUCUGUUCACUCUCUGGGAAUGAAAGUAACAAGUUAUCAUCUCACUCCUGUCAGAAAAAUAUCCAGCUUUAUAUAAUGCUUGAAACUCUAGGUUUGGUUUAAAAUUGAGUCUCCCAUCCCUCCAGCUCGUGAGUUUAAGACAGAGGAGGGGCUUGACUGGCUUCUCCGUGCGUUAGUCAGCUCAGGCUGCUAUAACAGAAUGCCAGAGACCUGGUGGUUCAAACAACACACAUUUGUUUCUCACGGUUCUGUAGGCUGGGAAGUCCAAGAUCAAGGUGCUGGCCAGCCCAGAUCCUGGUGAGGACUGUCUUCCUGGCUUGCAGAAAAUUGCUUCCUUGCUGUGUCCUCACAGGGUGGAGAGAGAGAGGUCUCUUUAGGGUCUCUUAUAAGGGCACUAAUCGUAUUGGAUCAGGACUCCACCCUUAUGACCUCGUUUAACCUUAAUUAUUUCCUUAAAGCCCCAUCUCAAAUUCAGCUACAUUGGGGGUUGGGGCCUCAAUAUGUCAAUCUGGGGGGACACAGUUCAGUCCACAGCACUCACUUUUAUCACUUGUGUUUCCUCCCCUUCCUCUCCUGUGCUCAGUUUCUUUCCCAUGAAUAGGGGGAGAGAGGAGAAUCCAGGAAGCAGGACCACGUGUACUCGCGUGAAGCUGGCAUGAGCCUUCAGCGCACUCUCGGGCCCGGCAGUGUGUGAAUCCGAUUCCUUCUGUUGGGGAAAUGUUUGUCAAUUCUUGGGAGACCUUCUUCAUACAGUUGCUACGCUGUCCUCCUGCUCAACGCUUGUGGCUCUUUCCUUAACCCUUAAGAAUUCCAGGGCUGGCCUCCCGCCGCUUCCGUGCAGUCCCUUCUCCCCCGCGACAGCCCCCUUGCACAGACUGAGUGCUUGAUUCCACACCAGCUCUCGCUCCAGGGUGGGCCAUUAUGGUCACUGCAAACCCUCAGGCUUCCUUUUACUUUCUUCCUUUUGCAUCCCAAACUCUGAGAAAACGGGCCAGUCACAACACAGUACCAAAACCCUCUUUGCUCCUGCAGUCAGAACAGCUCCCACUUUUAGUUUCCCAGGCAGGGGUCAGAAUCCGUCCCCCUGCUCCCUGCUAAUCCACAGAGGACUUAUUCUAGCUUUCUGAGGAGUGUCCCUGAAGCCCUUCUCUCUUGACCUGAGGGAAGGGGAAUUAGCCCCCUGCCACCCUCCAGUCCUCCCUUCUCUGACAGACCUGGUGAAUUGGUCCCUAGCAUCAGUCCCAGCCUCUUUUCUGGUGUGCUUUCCUGCACCGCGAAAUUGAAAAUGAUCAUUUUCAGACUCUCUUGCAGUUAGGUUCUGGAUGCAGAAAAGGUGCUGCCGAUGGAUGGCACUUGAAGAGGAUUUGAAAGGCAGAACGGAGAAGGCGGGUGGGGGGAGGAAGCUUUCCAAUGCACGCAAGGCUGGCAGAUGGAGAUGGCUUUUCUGUGUCCAUGAUCCGCGUCCAACCAUUGUGCUCAUGGACAUCGAGGGGCAGUUGUGUCAGUGGUGACAGAGGUUUCCUUAUCUCUGGGUCACAGCUCUGGUGGUGAGAUGUUGAUGUCAGCAGUGCUGGAGCUCCAUGCUGGUCUCCUGACCCCUCCCCUCUAGGUAGCAACCAGAGCAGCAGCUCCCCUGGAGGCCUAUUCAGUGGUCCCGUUCCCAAACUCACUUCUGGAGGCCUGGCCUGCGAUAUACUCCUCCAGCCUUUCCAAAACUUUCUAAGUACAAAAUUCCUUGAAAUAAUGCUCAUCUGAUUAAAAUAUCUAGAAUGGUUUCUGCUCCCUGCAAAUGAUGCCUGAUGAUACACCUCCCCUUGGGAAGGGAGUGGAGUGAAGCUCGGGGCACAUCAACAACCAGGCUGCAACCUCCCUUUGGACAUCCCGUUGUGAACUCCCGGAGGCAGGCCUCGUUUCCAGCCGGGCCGAGCUCUUCCAGAGCUGCUGUGUCCUUGUCAUGCUCCAUCACGUGAAAAGGGCCCACUGUGCUUGGAACAGCGCAGUUCCCUAAGAAGGAAGAUGAUCUCUUCAUCUAUAUAUUUUUACAUACUCAAGAACCUAUCCAGUGUUUUAUUUACUUGACUAAUGACAUUCCCAACUGAAAAGCACUGACCCAGUCCCUUGACUCAUCUUUGAACUGGCCUCAGGAGCAGGCAGAGAGGUGGAAAACCUUCAGCAGCCUGAGACGAGCAGUUUCUCUCCAGAAUAUUCACUCCACCGACUACCACUGCAUCCCAGAGGGAUGGAUUCUUGGCUUGGUUUCGUUCACUGACAAAAUGCAGACAGCCCAGUCAUGUGAAAGUUGAGCCUCUGGCCCAGAAGCCCUCACCCGAGCUCAUCCUGACCUGUCUUCGGAGCAGGUUUUGACGAAAGGAAGCAGAGAGAACACAAGGGCCGUGGCCAGCAGCACGGAGGAAUGUGUGUGGCCUCCCUCCCCUCCCCCAAGCCACCCCACAUAAAAUAAGAGAAAUAUUGUUUGAGAUCUGCAUCGCCGCUCUUCCCCAGGGCCCCACGGCCCAGCCUGGCAGAAGCCCUGUCUCUCACUGAGGCCGUGCCUGCAGACUCCUUCUGUCCCCACGGGCUGCAAACCCUGCUCUCGGUGGAGCUCAGAACAAUCGUUUUAAAAUGCAAAUCAAAUCCAGCCCCGCCCUGGUUUACGACCCCUCCGCUGGCUCCCCACUGUGACGGAACAAGGUAGAAUCCCUGUGCGAGCCGCUGGCCUUCACACACCUCACCUCGGAGACCCGCCAGGCUGCCCGACUCAGGCCCCGCCCGGCUUCCCUCACCUGCGGGCUCGCCCCCCACCCCGCCCAGCCGUGUUCCCUCACCAGCUCCUUCUCUUAAUUCCCCUCAACGUCUCCCCAAGGUGCCUUCACUGACCGACUUGCCGAAGUGCUCCCUCCUUAUUCUCCUUGACGGCUUCCUAUUCCUGUCCUUUUAAUAAUUAUUAGACCCUGUGCUUGCUUGUUUAUUGUCUCCCUCUGCCAGCUGACUGAAAACUCCACGUGGGCAUGGACCACGAGAGCUGGCAUCGCGAAUGCCCAGUUCAGGGACCUGCCAAAGCCCCAGAGGUCUUUGCUUGACCAAACUUGAGUCAGACUCCGGAAGCUUCUCCUGGGCCCAUCUGUGCAAUUCCCUGUAAAGCCCAGUUUUCGCAAGAACCCUGCUACGUCGGUUUCACCUGAACCCCCCUCGAUAUCUGACCAACCUCAGUAUCUGAGCAGGGUCCGUACCCUCCGCCAUCCUCCCUGUGACACCCUCCCGCCUGUCUCCAGUAAGAACCCUGGGAGGUCGGUUUAGCCCAACCCCCUCCCUCUGAGGUUUCCUCCUAAUUAUUUUUCCCCCCACUGACCCCCACCUGCUUCUCGGCUAUAAACCCUCACUUCCCACGCUGUAUUCAAAGUUGAGCCCAGUCUCUCGUCCCCACUGAAAAUUCUGUCCCAGUGGUCCCCACCCAUCAUGGUGGUCCUGAAUAAAGUCUGCC
rnacentral:lncRNA from 1 species